rnacentral:rRNA from 1 species
GACGAACGCUGGCGGCGUGCUUAACACAUGCAAGUCGAACGGAAAGGCCCUGCAUUUGUGGGGUGCUCGAGUGGCGAACGGGUGAGUAACACGUGAGUAACCUGCCCUUGACUUUGGGAUAACUUCAGGAAACUGGGGCUAAUACCGGAUAGGAGCUCCUGCUGCAUGGUGGGGGUUGGAAAGUUUCGGCGGUUGGGGAUGGACUCGCGGCUUAUCAGCUUGUUGGUGGGGUAGUGGCUUACCAAGGCUUUGACGGGUAGCCGGCCUGAGAGGGUGACCGGCCACAUUGGGACUGGGAUACGGCCCAGACUCCUACGGGAGGCAGCAGUGGGGAAUAUUGCACAAUGGGCGGAAGCCUGAUGCAGCAACGCCGCGUGCGGGAUGACGGCCUUCGGGUUGUAAACCGCUUUCGCCUGUGACGAAGCGUGAGUGACGGUAAUGGGUAAAGAAGCACCGGCUAACUACGUG